AGAACGAACGCUGGCGGCAGGCCUAACACAUGCAAGUCGAGCGGAUCCUUCGGGAUUAGCGGCGGACGGGUGAGUAACGCGUGGGAACAUACCCUUUGGUACGGAAUAGCCUCGGGAAACUGAGAGUAAUACCGUAUGUGCCCUUCGGGGGAAAGAUUUAUCGCCAAAGGAUUGGCCCGCGUUGGAUUAGGUAGUUGGUGGGGUAAUGGCCUACCAAGCCGACGAUCCAUAGCUGGUUUGAGAGGAUGAUCAGCCACACUGGGACUGAGACACGGCCCAGACUCCUACGGGAGGCAGCAGUAGGGAAUAUUGGACAAUGGGCGCAAGCCUGAUCCAGCAAUGCCGCGUGAGUGAUGAAGGCCUUAGGGUGUAAGCUCUUUACCCGAGAUGAUAAUGACAGUAUCGGAGAAUAAGCCCCGGACUAACGUCCGU
rnacentral:rRNA from 1 species